rnacentral:rRNA from 1 species
GAUGAACGCUGGCGGCGUGCCUAAUACAUGCAAGUCGAGCGAACAGACGAGGAGCUUGCUCCUCUGACGUUAGCGGCGGACGGGUGAGUAACACGUGGAUAACCUACCUAUAAGACUGGGAUAACUUCGGGAAACCGGAGCUAAUACCGGAUAAUAUAUUGAACCGCAUGGUUCAAUAGUGAAAGACGGUUUUGCUGUCACUUAUAGAUGGAUCCGCGCCGCAUUAGCUAGUUGGUAAGGUAACGGCUUACCAAGGCAACGAUGCGUAGCCGACCUGGGAGGGUGAUCGGCCACACUGGAACUGAGACACGGUCCAGACUCCUACGGGAGGCAGCAGUAGGGAAUCUUCCGCAAUGGGCGAAAGCCUGACGGAGCAACGCCGCGUGAGUGAUGAAGGUCUUCGGAUCGUAAAACCCUGUUAUUAGGGAAGAACAAAUGUGUAAGUAACUAUGCACGUCUUGACGGUACCUAAUCAGAAAGCCACGGCUAACUACGUG